GGGUUCAUACGUUGGUCGGGCUAUUUGGUCUGUACUUAUGUAAUGGAUUCCUACCUUCUGAAUAACCGGCAUGCCAUUAAUUUGGUGUCGUGGGGAAUCAGGACUGUUACUUUGAAAAAAUUAGAGUGUUUAAAGCAGGCGCACGCUUGAAUACAUUAGCAUGGAAUAAUGAAAUAGGACGUUUGAUUCUAUUUUGUUGGUUUCUAGGAUUGACGUA
rnacentral:rRNA from 1 species